rnacentral:lncRNA from 1 species
UGCUGGUGCCUUCUCUCGUGCUUGGUGGCGUUGGAAUCACAAAUAUGUCCAACCAAAACGUGCUGGCAUUGCUCCAUUCUUCCAAAUCACAGCCGCUGCUAUGACUUUCUUCUAUGUUAUCAACUAUGGAAAAUUGAAGCACCACAGAAACUACAA